rnacentral:piRNA from 1 species
UAACAUAUCCAAGCCUAUGCUG